rnacentral:rRNA from 1 species
CGCCUACGGGGCGCAGCAGUGAGGAAUAUUGGUCAAUGGGCGAGAGCCUGAACCAGCCAAGUCGCGUGAGGGAAGACGGUCCUAUGGAUUGUAAACCUCUUUUGCCGGGGAGCAAAAAGCGGUACGUGUACCGCAUCGAGAGUACCCGGAGAAAAAGCAUCGGCUAACUCCGUGCCAGCAGCAGCGGUAAUACGAAGGAUGCGAGCGUUAUCCGGAUUUAUUGGGUUUAAAGGGUGCGCAGGCGGCGAGCUAAGUCAGCGGUAAAAUGUCGGGGCACAACAC